GAACAGAAUAGUCAGUCAUUGGACUUCUAAGACAUCUCCAGUCUAUGUUUUGUCGUGCACAGAGGCCAUCCAGCCCUCCGUAGUCUUGAAAACAUUUGAGGAAGAACCAUCGACUUCGUCUUCAGAGAAAACCAGUUCAGAGACCGAAGGUUACACUGUGCUUAGCGCUGCUGAUGAAUCAUUUUAUGAAUUUAUACUUACAGAAGAGGAGAACAGUUCAUCACAUUCUGGCUCUGAGAAGACGUCAGACUCGAAUGAAGAAAUAAAAAAAGCCGCAAAGGGAGUGGCUGAGAAACAUCUUGCCUCAACACAUUUACGCUCAUAUUUAAAAAAGCGAAAAGCUGAAAGUUACCAGCGUAUGGAGCCGGUAGAUCAACAACUAUUUGCCAGAAUGGGCCUAACCAGUACAGAUGAGCCUUGCUUAAAACGCAUAAAAUCAGCUGGAGCUCAGAUCGUCAAGAGUGCCCUUGCUGAGAAAAACAGAUUCAUGAAGAGGAUUUCACACUCCUUCCAUCUAGCACACAAACCAUCUGCUGCAAAGGAUGCAGUGACUGCGACCAGACAUGCUAAUGAGUCUCAGAAACUGCAGAAAGGUAGAAAGCAGCCAUUCAGUGCCGCAGCUAAACCUCCAAGGUCACGAAGAACUACUUUACCAGGUUUGCACACUUAUACAGAGUGAAUUUACUGGGAGAGAAAGCAAGAGAGAAGCAGUGAAUGUG
ensembl:lncRNA